AGGGAACAAACUCCUGAUGUCCUGGGCUUGGGAUCGUCUCAGCCCAGGCCCCGCAGGUACAGAUGGGGACACUAAAGCACAGAGAAAGUCAGAGGCUUGGCUGAGGUCACACAGGAUGCUGUAGCGCCUGCCCUCUAGGCCCUCUUCAACCAGGGCCUGACUGUGGCUGAGCCUCCUUCCCUCACUAGGCCUCAGGGCCCAUCUGCCUGGCGAGAGCUCCGACUCAACCCCACUCCUGCCCUUCCAGCUCUGACUCUGCCAAUGUGCAGUCUGAAUCUCAGGGAGACCAUGGUGAUUCCUGCCAUCUCAAGCCGCUGUCCUCGCCCCGAGGUGGUCCUGCAGUCAGAGUGGAACGUUCCGGACAGCAUGGAGGCAUGAUACUGACAGAUGAGGCUAUUGACAUCACUGCAUGCAGCACUGGGAAGAGAUGGGCAUAAUCCGCUCUCCUGAGCUGACACCAGCACAUCCUGCGCACCCCAAAGUAGGAAUGAGCUAACACCAGUGAAAAGCUGUGUGACUCUAGUCAAGUGGCUUAACCUCUCUGAACUUCAGGCUUUCUAUCUGUACAACAGGGACAGCAAUAACACCCACUUCAACAUCAGGUAAGUGACAUAAUCUAAACGAUCAACAAUGUUUUGAGCACCUACUAUAUGUAGGGCUCUGUACUAGGUAGGCACGAGGGAAUAACAAUGGUGACAAAACAGAUACGAGCCUCUGCCCUCCUAAACCUUACUUCUUGCAGCAAAAGCCCUGGCACAGUGGCUAGAAUGUAGCACUCAAUAAAUAUUAGCUAUAAUAUUAGCUAAUAAUAC